CUGGCGGCAUGCUUACACAUGCAAGUCGAACGGCAGCACGGAGCAAUCCUGGUGGCGAGUGGCGAACGGGUGAGUAAUAUAUCGGAACGUGCCCAGUCGUGGGGGGAUAACGUAGCGAAAGCUACGCUAAUACCGCAUACGAUCUAUGGAUGAAANCGGGGGAUCGCAAGACCUCGCGCGAUUGGAGCGGCCGAUAUCAGAUUAGGUAGUUGGUGAGGUAAAGGCUCACCAAGCCGACGAUCUGUAGCUGGUCUGAGAGGACGACCAGCCACACUGGGACUGAGACACGGCCCAGACUCCUACGGGAGGCAGCAGUGGGGAAUUUUGGACAAUGGGCGCAAGCCUGAUCCAGCAAUGCCGCGUGCAGGAUGAAGGCCUUCGGGUUGUAAACUGCUUUUGUACGGAACGAAACGGUGAGCUCUAAUACAGUUUGCUAAUGACGGUACCGUAAGAAUAAGCACCGGCUAACUACGUG
rnacentral:rRNA from 1 species